rnacentral:rRNA from 1 species
UGACGUCUCUAGAAGACAUCUAGGAAAAGAGAAUUAAAGUAUUUAUCGGUGAUGGAGUGGGGAUGCGUCUGAUUAGCUUGUGGCGGGUAACGGCCCACCAAGGCGACGAUCAGUAGGGGUUCUGAGAGGAAGGUCCCCCACAUUGGAACUGAGACACGGUCCAAACUCCUACGGGAGGCAGCAGUGAGGAAUAUUGGUCAAUGGGCGAGAGCCUGAACCAGCCAAGUAGCGUGCAGGAUGACGGCCCUAUGGGUUGUAAACUGCUUUUAUAAGGGAAUAAAAGGCGGUACGUGUACCGCGUAUUGUAUGUACCAUCAGAAAAGGACCGGCUAAUUCCGUG